rnacentral:rRNA from 1 species
AGAGUUUGAUCCUGGCUCAGAACGAACGCUGGCGGCAGGCCUAACACAUGCAAGUCGAACGCCUCAGCAAUGAGGAGUGGCAGACGGGUGAGUAACGCGUGGGAACCUUCCCAAUGGUACGGAAUAACUCGCCGAAAGGCGAGCUAAUACCGCAUAAGCCCGCAAGGGGAAAGAUUUAUCGCCAUUGGAUGGGCCCGCGUCGGAUUAGCUAGUUGGUGAGGUAACGGCUCACCAAGGCUACGAUCCGUAGCUGGUCUGAGAGGAUGAUCAGCCACACUGGGACUGAGACACGGCCCAGACUCCUACGGGAGGCAGCAGUGGGGAAUAUUGGACAAUGGGCGAAAGCCUGAUCCAGCCAUGCCGCGUGAGUGACGAAGGCCUUAGGGUUGUAAAUCUCUUUUGGCGGGGACGAUAAUGACGGUACCCGCAGAAUAAGCCCCGGCUAACUUCGUGCCAGCAGCCGCGGUAAUUC